UUGUUGUUUUGUUUUUCCAUAGAAGCAACAUGCAAAAAACCAAGCACAAAAUCAUAGACUUGCAACUUUCCUUGACAUUUCGACGCAGAGAAAAGGAAAUCAAUGUCCAACUCAGUGUCUACCUGCAGUAUUUCACCAUCAAAAUAACAAACAAGAAUUCAAGAUUCUAGGUGGACAAACAACUUGGAUUAUCAACAGGGAGCAGAAAACAAACCCACUAGCAGGACCAAAAGGCAGACCCAUCAGCAGAACACAGGCGGCAGCUUCAACAAUUAACUCCAAAACUGAAAGUCAAAUCCAGGAGAAGACUGAGGAAGCUCCAUUUUCUUUGAGCACUUAAUUGUAAAUUAAGAUUUGCUGAUGAUAAUGGGCUAAUUUAAGCUACCGUGGAAAGAGGAAAGAAAUGGAAGCUGCCGAUCGUAGGAAGCAGUACCUGUACUGCGAAGGGUUGCAGUGACCUAACACCAAGAAAUAAAAACUCUGGAAAACUAGCCCUUCACAUAUAGAAGGACCCUCCCAAAGAGCUGGAGCUCCUCUGCCCACAGCCUCCCCCAUCAGAUCAGACCUAUGGUAGAAUACAGCAAGGAGUAAACGCCUUGGACCACCAGCUACUACAACUCUAGAAAAAUGGAGGCACAAAUAUGUGGGUCCCAGAGCCCUGGGGGAGCUGGAAUGGAUACUUGCUAACACAAGGGACACGAGAUUCUCUUUCCUUUGGAAGGGUCCUGUCACGGCCCUUCUUGGGUUCUGGACUGUCCUACAAUGCCUGACUUUAGUUUCUGUGGAUCAUGAUAGGCAUUACUCGUUUUUUCCCCCUCAAA